rnacentral:rRNA from 1 species
AGAUUGAACGCUGGCGGCAUGCUUUACACAUGCAAGUCGAACGGCAGCACGGGGGCAACCCUGGUGGCGAGUGGCGAACGGGUGAGUAAUGCAUCGGAACGUAUCCUUGAGUGGGGGAUAACGCAGCGAAAGUUGUGCUAAUACCGCAUAAGCUCUGGGGAGGAAAGCGGGGGACCGAAAGGCCUCGCGCUGAAGGAGCGGCCGAUGUCCGAUUAAUGGCGCACCAAGGCGACGAUGGGUAGCCGGCCUGAGAGGGUGAACGGCCACACUGGGACUGAGACACGGCCCAGACUCCUACGGGAGGCAGC